rfam:Populus trichocarpa isolate Nisqually-1 chromosome 10, whole genome shotgun sequence.
CUGACUACUCAAAAUCAACAAUUAUUGUAAGUCUAACUAUAUUAUUGACAUUCAUAAAAUAUAU